UUACCCACUUAAUGUGCUUA
rnacentral:miRNA from 1 species